CACGUAGGGCGCAAGCGUUGUCCGGAAUUAUUGGGCGUAAAGAGCUCGUAGGCGGUUUGUUGCGUCGGCUGUGAAAUCCCGAGGCUCAACCUCGGGUCUGCAGUCGAUACGAGCAAACUAGAGUGUUGCAGGGGAGACUGGAAUUCCUGGUGUAGCGGUGAAAUGCGCAGAUAUCAGGAGGAACACCGGUGGCGAAGGCGGGUCUCUGGGCAACAACUGACGCUGGAGGAGCGAAAGCGUCGGGGAGCGAACAGG
rnacentral:rRNA from 1 species